CUGACUGCUAUCGGAUUGGUACUAAGCCAUGUGAGUCAUUGUAGCAAUACAAGGCAUACGGCUCAGUAACACGUAGUCAAUCUGCCCUAUGGACGUGGAUAACCUCGGGAAACUGAGAAUAAUCCGCGAUAGAUCAUAAUGCCUGGAACGGUUUAUGGUCCAAAUGAUUCGUCGCCAUAGGAUGGGACUGCGGCCUAUCAGCUUGUUGGUGAGGUAAUGGCCCACCAAGGCUAUUACAGGUACGGGCUCUGAGAGGAGAAGCCCGGAGAUGGGUACUGAGACACGGACCCAGGCCCUAUGGGGCGCAGCAGGCGAGAAACCUUUGCAAUGUGCGCAAGCACGACAAGGUUAAUCCGAGUGUUUCCUGCUAAAGGAAUCUUUUGUUAGUUCUAAAACCACUGAUGAGUAAGGGGUGGGCAAGUUCUGGUGUCAGCCGCCGCGGUAAAACCAGCACCUCAAGUGGUCAGGAGGAUUAUUGGGCCUAAAGCAUCCGUAGCCGGUUCUGUAAGUUUCCGGUUAAAUCCACUAGCUCAACUAAUGGGCUGCCGGAAAUACUGCAGAACUAGGGAGUGGGAGAGGUAGACGGUACUCGGGAGGAAGGGGUAAAAUCCUUUGAUCUCUUGAUGACCACCUGUGGCGAAGGCGGUCUACCAGAACACGUUCGACGGUGAGGGAUGAAAGCUGGGGGAGCAAACCGGAUUAGAUACCCGGGUAGUCCCAGCUGUAAACGAUGCAGACUCGGUGAUGCACUGGCUUUUGGCCAGUGCAGUGCCGCAGGGAAGCCGUUAAGUUUGCCGCCUGGGAAGUACGUACGCAAGUAUGAAACUUAAAGGAAUUGGCGGGGGAGCACCACAAGGGGUGAAGCCUGCGGUUCAAUUGGAUUCAACGCC
rnacentral:rRNA from 1 species